GCCCUCGUUGAUUAGUGGUAAAUCCCUCAUUAGAGAUAGGAGAUUUCUGAGAGCAUCUGAGUCCAGUGGGAAAUGGAGGUUCGAAUCCUCCCGAGGGCA